AGAGUUUGAUCCUGGCUCAGAUUGAACGCUGGCGGCAUGCCUUACACAUGCAAGUCGAACGGCAGCGGACCUUCGGGUGCCGGCGAGUGGCGAACGGGUGAGUAAUGUAUCGGAACGUACCUUUCAGUGGGGGAUAACGUAGCGAAAGUUACGCUAAUACCGCAUAUUCUGUGCGCAGGAAAGCAGGGGAUCGCAAGACCUUGCGCUGAUUGAGCGGCCGAUAUCAGAUUAGCUAGUUGGUGAGGUAAAGGCUCACCAAGGCGACGAUCUGUAGCGGGUCUGAGAGGAUGAUCCGCCACACUGGAACUGAGACACGGUCCAGACUCCUACGGGAGGCAGCAGUGGGGAAUUUUGGACAAUGGGGGCAACCCUGAUCCAGCCAUGCCGCGUGAGUGAAGAAGGCCUUCGGGUUGUAAAGCUCUUUCGGCCGGGAAGAAAUCGCAUGGGUUAAUACCCUGUGCGGAUGACGGUACCGGCAUAA
rnacentral:rRNA from 1 species